rnacentral:antisense_RNA from 1 species
UGUUAUGGUAGAUCGGGCAGGGCAGUCAUUGACUGGCCGUUUCUUUUGGUACGGUACUUCCACCCCUGUUCGGUCUGCCACCAUU